CUAUUGCUGCUAAUCUAUCACUGUCAAUCAAUCUACUGCAGUGAAUCUAUCUAUCACUAUCAUUACUGAUUCAAA
rnacentral:sRNA from 1 species